GACGAACGCUGGCGGCAUGCCUAACACAUGCAAGUCGAGCGAGCUGAUUCCUUCGGGAUGAGGCUAGCGGCGGACGGGUGAGUAACACGUGGGCAACCUGCCUCAUAGAGGGGAAUAGCCUUCCGAAAGGAAGAUUAAUACCGCAUAAGAUUGCAUCUUCGCAUGAAGAAGCAAUUAAAGGAGCAAUCCGCUAUGAGAUGGGCCCGCGGCGCAUGAGCUAGUUGGUGAGGUAACGGCUCACCAAGGCGACGAUGCGUAGCCGACCUGAGGGGGUGAUCGGCCACAUUGGGACUGAGACACGGCCCAGACUCCUACGGGAGGCAGCAGUGGGGAAUAUUGCACAAUGGGGGAAACCCUGAUGCAGCAAUGCCGCGUGAGUGAUGACGGCCUUCGGGUUGUAAAGCUCUGUCUUCGGGGACGAUAAUGACGGUACCCGAGGAGGAAGCCACGGCUAACUACGUGCCAGCCGCCGCCGUAA
rnacentral:rRNA from 1 species